UAUGUCUACAUUUGUUGGGAUAAAUUUGUUAUUUUAAUGUAAUAAUAGCAUGACCAAAACAAACAGUAUUCAAUUUAUAAUGAAUUAACUAAGAAUACAUGAAUGGUUUUAUAAUGGUAUUUUGCAUAUUGUUUUUAGCACUGUACUCAUUCAAAUGCAUUGCAUUAUUGGUAUAUUCACAGAAGAGGAACAAACUGGGAAUGUGGGGUAUGGGAAUCCAGACUUGGAGAAUGGCUUUAACAAUAAUCAGGAGUUGGGCAAUCAGGGGGGUCAGGAGAAGGGACAGUCAUUGCUCAGUGUACUUGCAGAAGCUUUGAGGGUCAGCCAUGUUGGCCCUCAAGAGAGACUUGAAGCUAAUUUGGAGGGGCCACCAGAAGAGAUUAUGUGCCAUGAGGCUCAAAAGAAGGACGAUACACACCCAGACCAGAAGUCUUGCUCCAGAGGUACUUUCAUCUUAUUGAAGCGUCUGUGGACAAACACUUUCCCAAACUGCCAGCAGGGAACACUGUGAAUCAGCUGGAGGGCUACCUGAUAAAAGUGCAAAUAACUGUGCAAGGGGAGCUUCUGAGGUUGGCACCCCUGCUCAAAGAGGCUCAGUUGCGGAAGCAUUUGAUUGCUUGCUAUCAUCAGCGUAUGUUUGACUGUCUACAGCAGAUCCUUCAGCAUGUCAACACAAAAAAGAGGCCUUCACAGUUCUUGACUGAGUACUACAAUAAUAAUAAAUACACUAUAAUAAAGUGUAUCACUGUAAAUCUAUGCGAAGCCCUUUCUCUCCCGGUGACUCUUCCUGCUCCACAUAGUGCAUCAAUGCUGUUCUCCAGAAAGCAAAGAUGAUGAGCCAAACUCUGAUGCGCAAGGUCCAAAUAGUCUGUUGGCAAGAACUACAGGACUUUGUGGAAAGGUAUGUCAAUGUUGAAAAGAAGCACCUUCAGAAACAAGCAGGAAUGGGAACGUCAGGCACAAUGCACUUCUUUAAGACGUUCAACACCUGCAUUGAACUAAAGUUGUAUAUUUCAAGGAUUGCCAAAGAUGACACAAGCUUAGACUGUGUUAAAACCAUAUCAACACUUAAGGGGUUGGAAGCUCUUUCUUGGAAACUUCUCCUGGAAAAACCAAUUCAACUUGCACAGAUGUCCUUAAAGAAGUAUUUCAAAAGAGAGGAAGAACAAAUGGAAAAUCUAAUGAAAGAGAUUAUACAUUUAUUUUCCAAGACCUUCCCAAAGACAAGGAUACGCAAAAGACUGUGAUUAACAAAGCCUAUCAGUGCAUCACCCUUCUGUACCUCCAACACCUGGUGCAGAGUAACCAUGGGAAGCUGGUGAAGAGAUGGGAUUAUGUGAACAAAAGAGUGAUGCAUGAUGCCGAGCUCCUUCACUCCAUCUUCUCAGUCCUGAAUCCUGAUGUUAAACAGUGGAACAUCAUACUGACUAAAGUGAGAGAAGUGCUGGAGUGCAGCGACAUUGAAAGUCUCAAGAUAAGUCAGUGAGAUACUGAGGGACAACACCAAUACAAG